rnacentral:rRNA from 1 species
UACGUAGGCAGCAAGCGUUGUUCGGAGUUACUGGGCGUAAAGAGCGCGCAGGCGGUCGUGCAAGUCGCGUGUGAAAGCCCCCGGCUCAACUGGGGAGGGUCACGCGAUACUGCUCGACUCGAAGGCAGGAGAGGGAAGUGGAAUUCCCGGUGUAGUGGUGAAAUGCGUAGAUAUCGGGAGGAACACCAGUGGCGAAGGCGACUUCCUGGCCUGUUCUUGACGCUGAGGCGCGAAAGCUAGGGUAGCAAACGGG